AGUUGCAAAGAACUCUGAAGAGAGAGUUCAAGAGGGCGUGAAACCGCUGGGAUGGAAGCGAAUAGAGUCGACGAAACCUGUCUUCCAUCAUUCAACCGAUCAGCUCUGCGGUCUGUCACCGCGCUACCGUACGCAACACUGCGGAGUGUGUCGGUGGUGGUCACUGCUGAGUGGAGCUAGGCCUGUGUGAUCGGUGCAUUUGAUGGCGGUAUGCGCCGAGAGCCGCGUCACGGUGUGCGUCAACGUCUGCCUGGUGCAGUGGACCGUUGUACGUCUUCGGACGGGCGGAAACCUGCAUUCGACCGAGGCGCAUCACAGAUGCGGUGAACAGCCGUGUACAGCAGUCCCCAGGCGCUUGCCCGCGCCUUGCGCCUGUCGGCCUGACCGUGUGGCGGUGCGUACUGCGAGUGCUUCGCGGCGCGCAGUGCGUCCGUUUGCGGUCUGGCCACGGUCGUUUUGUGUGCGUUGGGACUGUGCCUCGGUGUGAGUGUCGAUCACCUAUUCGACCCGUCUUGAAACACGGACCAAGGAGUCUAGCAUAUGCGCAAGUUAUUGGGUGGUAAACCCGGAGAAAACGCAAUGAAAGUGAAAUCGGCCGUUCUGACGGUCGCAAACUGUGAGCCAGUCGACUCCGUCGGGCGCAACAGUGCCCCGUCUCGGUUGCCGUUGGCAACGGGGCGGAGGUAGAGCGUGUAUGCUGGGACCCGAAAGAUGGUGAACUAUGCCUGAGCAGGAUGAAGCCAGAGGAAACUCUGGUGGAGGUCCGAAGCGAUUCUGACGUGCAAAUCGAUCGUCUGACUUGGGUAUAGGGG
rnacentral:rRNA from 1 species